GGUCAUGGCUCAGUGGUAGACCGCUUGCCUGGCACACAUGAGGCACUGAGUUCAAUCCCCAGCACCA
rnacentral:tRNA from 1 species